CAUUAAAGUCCUCUCCCCUGAGUCUUUGAUGGCCUCUCUAUAAUUCAUUUUCUUGUCCCAUUUUGUCUAUUACCAUUUAGGCCUGAGCAGCGAAAGUGCUGUGAAGGCAUAUUGUACUUCGAAUGUUUCUUAUUAUCAUUCUCCUGACAAAUAAAUUGGCUUUUUGGAUGCCUAAAGAUAUAUGAAAACUCACUGAACUUCACUGAAAAUUGACCCCCUUAUGAAAUUUUAGGUUGUAUUCACACUUGCCACUUUUGGUCUGCUUUAAACGUACCAGAGUUCGUUUCUGUUAGGAGUGUGUUCUGUUUGGGGGAUAUGUUUGUGUUCACUUACUUUCCAGAGUCAAAGUGGCAUGAGCGGAGUUUUUCAAUCUACCCACCUGUCCUAGAUCCUGCUGAUGAGAGCAGCUGGCACUUAAGCUCCUGGAAGUGAUCCAUUCCUCGCCGGAUUAUUCAGUGACAUUGGACACUUGGUGGAGUUUGGAACUCACCUUUUGCUGGAGCUUAAGGACUUGUGUAUGUAGACUCCUCCUGGAAACUCUCACCUGGAAGCCAACAAUCCUCCGUCCUGCCACUCUAACUCUCCCUUGGACCUGGAACACAAAUGGACUCCAAAACCUGAAACACUUACCUCCUGGAUUUCCUUUGCCUCCUCCUCCGAGCUAACCUCCCUCCCAGGAGCCUGAUGCAUCAACUUCCAUCAUUCACUGUGAAUAAACAUCACUUUAACUUUU